rnacentral:rRNA from 1 species
UGGGGAAUAUUGCACAAUGGGCGCAAGCCUGAUGCAGCCAUGCCGCGUGUAUGAAGAAGACCUUCGGGUUGUAAAGUACUUUCAGCGGGGAGGAAGGCGAUAAGGUUAAUAACCUUGUCGAUUGACGUUACCCGCAGAAGAAGCACCGGCUAACUCCGUGCCAGCAGCCGCGGUAAUACGGAGGGUGCAAGCGUUAAUCGGAAUUACUGGGCGUAAAGCGCACGCAGGCGGUCUGUCAAGUCGGAUGUGAAAUCCCCGGGCUGAACCUGGGAACUGCAUUCGAAACUGGCAGGCUAGAGUCUUGUAGAGGGGGGUAGAAUUCCAGGUGUAGCGGUGAAAUGCGUAGAGAUCUGGAGGAAUACCGGUGGCGAAGGCGGCCCCCUGGACAAAGACUGACGCUCAGGUGCGAAAGCGUGGGGAGCAAACA